rnacentral:tRNA from 1 species
GCCCCUAUAGCCCAAUCGGCAGAGGCAGCCGCCUUAAAAGCGGCGCAGUGUGGGUUCGAGUCCCACUGGGGGCACCG